rnacentral:rRNA from 1 species
CAGAGACUGCAAGCGUUAUUCGGAUUCACUGGGCGUAAAGGGUGCGCAGGCGGCCAAGUGUGUGAGGCGUGAAAGCCCGGGGCUUAACUCCGGAAUUGCACCUCAAACUACACGGCUAGAGCAUUGGAGAGGGUAGCAGAAUUCAUGGUGUAGCAGUGAAAUGCGUAGAUAUCAUGAGGAAUAGCAGAGGCGAAGGCGGCUACCUGGACAAUUGCUGACGCUCAGGCACGAAAGCGUGGGGAGCAAAAGGGAUUAGAUACCCCUGUAGUCCACGCCCUAAACGGUGCACACUAGGUCUUGGCGGAUUCGACCCCCCCAGGGCCCAAGCUAACGCGUUAAGUGUGCCGCCUGAGGACUACGGCCGCAAGGCUA